UUUACAACUACUCUCGGAACAAUUACCCCUGAAAGAGAACUGAAAUCUGGAUAAAAAGAACACUGCAACAAGGGAGAGUGCUGACUGAGGUAGAAGAGGCAGAAAAUCUUUCUGGAGAGAAAAGAAACCACCUUCCUGAGCUGUGACACUUCAUGGCUGGCCAGAAGCAAUCCUAGGUAAUGCAGCCUUCCCUGGAAGAGUAGGGUACCUGAGCAAGGGAGUGUUACCACUAGAAGCAUCUUUUGGACUCAGCACAACUGAAACGAGUACCAUAAUAUCUAGCUUUGCUGGCUACUAACAACAGUGGGGAAUACCCCUAGAAAAGCUAUCAGACAUAAGGGGAAAAAAGCCAGCUCUUAAAGGGCCCACACGCAAAUUUGCUCAUUUCAGAAAGCCACAUAAAACCACAGAAGGAAAGGUGCACAGUCCUUUGGUGAAAAGAGACUCACCUGAUAGGCUCUGGGUGCAUCUUGGUGAGAGGUGAGACCUCUCCAGGGACUGAGACAUUGGCAGCAGUCAUUACUGUGACAUGCUACAAGCAUGCUGACAUAGAUACUGACAGAAACAAUUGGAGUUUUUCCCCUGGCCUGUUAGCCCAGGGUCUGCCCCACUCACUAAAGCUUUGAUCUAAUCCAGCUCAGCUAGAACAGGCAGCUGCCACAGGGAUUGGGCUCACCCAACAGCAAGCCCUCAGGCAACUUGUGGGCCUACAUAGGCUGGGUGCCUGGAUCCUCAGCAGGCAGGUCGUCACGGGCCUUCCUAUGACAAGCUUUUGGAGUCUUACAUCUUUGUUACAACCAAGCCAGAGCCCUGCAGGGUUACUCUGAGAGCCAGCCUCUCCGGGAAGUGGAGUCCGUUGCCACAGAGCCACCUGCAAGUGACUGAUCAAUGUGGGCCUGGGGUGGCCUCUCAAGGCCAUUCUCAUCCCAGGGUACUCCACAGGCACCUGGAUGUGGAGCAAGGAAUCCAGCUUGAUAAAGAACAGACCUCUGCUCUGAACUCCAUCUGCCUUCCCAGCCUCCCCAGAAGUCCAGCAGAGCCUCACACCUUCCCGUUGCGCAAAUCUGCUCUUGCUGCCGUAGUCCCUGUGGUACUGUGAUACGAUAAGAAAUAUAUAUUCGGUCUUUGUCUUGGUUCCUGGCGCAAGAGCUCCCAAAGCCCUUGCAAUUUCCUGAUAAGGGGGAGAGGAGCAUCUUUUGCUAUUCAUAAUAAGCCCCUUUCAACCGUACCUAAGUCUAUGCUAAUAAGGUGACUCUUGGAAGAGGGGGUCUGGUUGCCAGAAGAAUGAAGCUUGAGAUUAGGGCUUGGAACCUUCAGCUCCACUCCCAGACCUCCAGGGAGGGGAGAGGGGUUGGAGAUGAGUUCAAUCAUCAAGGGCAAUGAUUUAAUCAAUCAUGUCUACAUAAUGGAACUUCCAUAAAAACCCUAAACAACGGCUUCUGGAGAGCUUCUGGGUGGUGAACAC
rnacentral:lncRNA from 1 species